rnacentral:rRNA from 1 species
UACGUAGGUGGCAAGCGUUGUCCGGAUUUAUUGGGCUUAAAGGGUGCGUAGGCGGCCCUGUAAGUCAGUGGUGAAAUAUCCCGGCUUAACCGGGAGGGUGGCAUUGAUACUGCGGGGCUAGAGUACAGAUGAGGUAGGCGGAAUUGACGGUGUAGCGGUGAAAUGCGUAGAGAUUAGGAAGAACACCAGUGGCGAAGGCGACUUACUGGACUGUAACUGACGCUGAGGCAUGAAAGCGUGGGGAGCAAACAGG